AUGGCCACUGCUUGCCCUAUGCAUGCCCACUGUUUGCCCGCUCUUUGCCCACUGCUUGCCUGUAGCGUGCCCCUUCUGUGCCCCCUCUUUGGCUAUUGCACGCCCCCACUGCUUGCCUAUAGUGUACCCCUUAUUUGCCCACUGCUUACCCACUGCUUGGCCACUAAGUGCCCCUUACAUGGCCACUGCUUGCCCGCUGCGUGGCCAUUGCUUGCCUGCUGCAUGGCCACUGCUUGCCCAUUCUUUGCCCACUGCUUGCCUGUCGCGUGCCCCUUCUGUGCCCCCUCUUUGGCUAUUGCAAACCCCCACUGCUUGCCCAUAGUGUACCCCUUAUUUGGCCACUGCUUGCCCGCUGCUUGGCUAUUGCUUGCCUACUGUGUGGCCACUGCUUGCCCUGUGUAUGCCCACUGCUUGCCAGUUCUUUGCCCACUGCUUGGCCAUAGCGUGCCCCUUCUGUGCCCCCUCUUUGGCUAUCGCACGCCCCCACUGCUUGCCCAUCGUGUACCCCUUAUUUGCCCACUGCUUGCCCACUGCUUGGCCACUAAGUGCCCCUUACAUGGCCACUGCUUGCCUACUGCUUGUCUAUUGCUUGCCCGCUGCGUGGCUACUGCUUACCCGCUCUUUGCCCGCUGCUUGGCUGUAGCAUGCCCCUUCUGUGCCCCCUCUUUGGCUAUCGCACGCCUCCACUGCUUGCCCAUCAUGUACCCCUUAUUUGGCCACUGCUUGCCCACUGCUUGGCUAUUGCGCCACAGUGUGCCCCUUCUGUGCCCCCUCUUUGGCUAUUGCACGCCCCCACUGCUUGCCUAUAGUGUACCCCUUAUUUGCCCACUGCUUGCCCACUGCUUGGCCACUAAGUGCCCCUUACAUGGCCACUGCUUGCCCGCUGCGUGGCCAUUGCUUGCCUGCUGCAUGGCCACUGCUUGCCCAUUCUUUGCCCACUGCUUGCCUGUCGCGUGCCCCUUCUGUGCCCCCUCUUUGGCUAUUGCAAACCCCCACUGCUUGCCCAUAGUGUACCCCUUAUUUGGCCACUGCUUGCCCGCUGCUUGGCUAUUGCUUGCCUACUGUGUGGCCACUGCUUGCCCUGUGUAUGCCCACUGCUUGCCAGUUCUUUGCCCACUGCUUGGCCAUAGCGUGCCCCUUCUGUGCCCCCUCUUUGGCUAUCGCACGCCCCCACUGCUUGCCCAUAGUGUACCCCUUAUUUGCCCGCUGCUUGCCCACUAA
rnacentral:lncRNA from 1 species